rnacentral:rRNA from 1 species
CUGGGGUGAAGUCGUAACAAGGUAGCCGUAUCGGAAGGUGCGGCUGGAUCACCUCCUUUCUGAAGAGAAUU